rnacentral:rRNA from 1 species
AUUGAACGCUGGCGGCAUGCUUUACACAUGCAAGUCGAACGGCAGCACGGGGCAACCCUGGUGGCGAGUGGCGAACGGGUGAGUAAUAUAUCGGAACGUACCCGGAAAUGGGGGAGUAACGUAGCGAAAGUCACGCUAAUACCGCAUAUGCCCUAAGGGGGAAAGCGGGGGAUUCGCAAGAACCUCGCGUUUUCGGAGCGGCCGAUAUCGGAUUAGCUAGUAGGUGAGGUAAAGGCUCACCUAGGCGACGAUCCGUAGCUGGUCUGAGAGGACGACCAGCCACACUGGAACUGAGACACGGUCCAGACUCCUACGGGAGGCAGCAGUGGGGAAUUUUGGACAAUGGGCGCAAGCCUGAUCCAGCCAUGCCGCGUGAGUGAAGAAGGCCUUCGGGUUGU